rnacentral:rRNA from 1 species
UAGGGAAUCUUCCGCAAUGGACGCAAGUCUGACGGAGCAACGCCGCGUGAGUGAAGAAGGAUUUCGGUUCGUAAAACUCUGUUGUUAGAGAAGAACAGCGCAUAGAGUAACUGUUAUGCGUGUGACGGUAUCUAACCAGAAAGCCACGGCUAACUACGUGCCAGCAGCCGCGGUAAUACGUAGGUGGCAAGCGUUGUCCGGAUUUAUUGGGCGUAAAGCGAGCGCAGGCGGUCAAUUAAGUCUGAUGUGAAAGCCCCCGGCUCAACCGGGGAGGGUCAUUGGAAACUGGUUGACUUGAGUGCAGAAGAGGAGAGUGGAAUUCCAUGUGUAGCGGUGAAAUGCGUAGAUAUAUGGAGGAACACCAGUGGCGAGGGCGACUCUCUGGUCUGUAACUGACGCUGGGGUUCGAAAGCGUGGGUAGCAAACAGG